rnacentral:rRNA from 1 species
GAUGAACGCUGGCGGCAGGCCUAACACAUGCAAGUCGAACGGUAGCACAGAGAGCUUGCUCUCGGGUGACGAGUGGCGGACGGGUGAGUAAUGUCUGGGAAACUGCCCGAUGGAGGGGGAUAACUACUGGAAACGGUAGCUAAUACCGCAUAACGUCGCAAGACCAAAGUGGGGGACCUUCGGGCCUCACACCAUCGGAUGUGCCCAGAUGGGAUUAGCUAGUAGGUGGGGUAAUGGCUCACCUAGGCGACGAUCCCUAGCUGGUCUGAGAGGAUGAGCCGCCACACUGGAACUGAGACACGGUCCAGACUCCUACGGGAGGCAGCAGUGGGGAAUAUUGCACAAUGGGCGCAAGCCUGAUGCAGCCAUGCCGCGUGUAUGAAGAAGGCCUUCGGGUUGUAAAGUACUUUCAGCGGGGAGGAAGGCGGUGAAGUUAAUAACUUCACCGAUUGACGUUACCCGCAGAAGAAGCACCGGCUAACUCCGUGCCAGCCGCCGCAGUAA